rnacentral:rRNA from 1 species
UACGUAGGUCGCAAGCGUUGUCCGGAUUUACUGGGCGUAAAGAGCGCGCAGGCGGCUGGUCACGUCCGAUGUGAAAUCUCCCGGCUCAACUGGGAAACUGCAUCGGAAACUGACCGGCUUGAAGAUGGGAGAGGGUAGUGGAAUUCCCGGUGUAGUGGUGAAAUGCGUAGAUAUCGGGAGGAACACCAGUGGCGAAGGCGACUACCUGGCCCAUUCUUGACGCUGAGGCGCGAAAGCUAGGGGAGCGAACGGG